UUAGGAAUCUUCCACAAUGGGCGAAAGCCUGAUGGAGCGACGCCGCGUGAGGGAUGAAGGCCUUAGGGUUGUAAACCUCUAAAAGAGGGACGAUAAUGACGGUACCUCUUGAAUAGCACCGGCUAACUCCGUGCCAGCAGCCGCGGUAAUACGGAGGGUGCAAGCGUUAUCCGGAAUUAUUGGGUUUAAAGGGUGCGUAGGCGGACUAAUAAGUCAGUGGUGAAAGCCUGCAGCUUAACUGCAGAAUUGCCAUUGAUACUGUUAGUCUUGAGUACAGUUGAGGUAGGCGGAAUGUGUCAUGUAGCGGUGAAAUGCUUAGAUAUGACACAGAACACCGAUUGCGAAGGCAGCUUGCUAAGCUGUAACUGACGCUGAGGCACGAAAGCGUGGGGAGCAAACA
rnacentral:rRNA from 1 species